CACAUCCAACACAGUUGUAGGGUAAUUUUGUACACAUGUCACUCUCAUAUUCAAUUUCAGCAAAUCCUACAUGGAAAAAGACAAAAAACCUACUUCUUUUGGCUGAAAUUUCAAAUGAUAUUCCCUCCUUCAGCUUUUGACGAAAUGGGCCAACAAAUGCCAAGCCAAUGCUAUCCGGCCCAACUUGAUCCAGUCCAUUUCAGGCCAAACAAAAAAAACUCCUUCCCCAAGAAGCGUGUUUGACGUGUCUCUUUUCAUUAUUUUUCAAAUCCAUGCAACUUCUUCUUCUGAGAAGCAGCUGUCCCUUUCAUUCUUAGCAAAGGAACAGUGUCAAGUCACUUUCAGUACCAACAAAUUUGUCUGACUGAUAUUGAAAAACAGAUUCUCAAAUUUCAAACUCUCUCUCCCUCUCUAAACACCAAAGCCACAACCUUCUUCACUUGAUGAACUCCAUUUUCCUUCCAAAGAAGAAUCUCAUGGAUGUUGCUGGGCCGAUUUUCAUUCUGACGGAGCAGAUUUCAUUCUGAAACCCGAUGCGUGUUCUCCCAAAAGUGUUAUAUAUUUAAGCCCGAGUUGUUGUCUGGAAUUCUGCAACAAAGAAGAUGAAGAGAAAUAUGAAGAAGCAACACUCACCAUGAAGGAAGCGGCAGACUCAAACUUAGAAAAUUCUGCAUCAAUUCCAAGUGAAACCUCAAAAUGAUGGCGGACACAAUUUUUUGUUCAAGAUUCAAGUUAAAUUGUGUGAAGGGUAUCCAACGAUUUUGAUCUCUUGCGGUAAAUUCAAAGAUUUGAGUAAUCCAAAGGUUUCACUUCUUGAAAUUUGCCAGAGUUUGAAUUCUAAAUAUUGAAGAUGUUAGACCAAUUCAAGGAAAUAAUGGGUCUAUGGCUUGAAGGGAAUUUCUAUGGAGAUUGAUUUAAUGUCCAGUUUAGCAUUGUAUGCAUGACUAUGUCCAGGUUUAUGAAGGGAUCCUACAUCCAUAUGACAAAGGACUAUCAUACCAUCAUGGAGCUGGAGAAGAAGAGAAAGGAAUUAUUUGCAGGAGUUAUUUAUAACUAUACGACAAAGAGCAUAACACUUGCUUAUGAGGUUGUGCUAUAAUUUCUAAUUUCUAAUUACAUCAUUUUUUGGUGUUGUUAAGAGUUAUUGAUGGAUUUGGAGGUAGAUCUAUGUUCUCUCAUUCAACUCAUGGCUUUGUAGUAUUGUUUUUCACAGUAGAUGAUUCAUACGUUGACACCUACAUAUCAGUACAAUUGGAGUGGACUUUAUAAGCAUUCACAUCCACCACUUAACCUUUGCAAAUCUCUUGAUUAAUUUGGUUUUACAUCUAAGGGAGAUUUGUGGGCCGAAAUACAGACAUAGCUGCAAAAUUGGUUCUAAACUUCUAAAGGAUUUAUGCAUGAUAAUACAAUGUUUAAAAGGAUUUUAUAUAUAGUUUCAUUCGAUCUUAAUGGUCUUAACUUUGUUUAGUUCAUGAGUUUAUCUCUUAAUAGAAUUUUAAAAGAUGUCUUGAAUGAAAAUAAAAAUGACAUUAUUAAAAUAUAACAUUAAGUUUUGCUCUGUUAUGAUA